rnacentral:sRNA from 1 species
GCCAGGUAUGCUAGCACAGGCCUGUAUUCUCAGAUACUUGGGAGGCUGAGGUGGUAGGUUCACUUGAGCCCACAAAUUCAUGACUAUCCUGGACAACAUAGUGAGAUAGUUUCUCAA